rfam:Comamonadaceae bacterium A1 DNA, complete genome.
GAAUCGCCCGCCAGUAAUGGUGGGCGUGGAUUGAAAC